rnacentral:piRNA from 1 species
UGCCAGCAAUGAUAUCAAUACCAUGAACUUG